rnacentral:rRNA from 1 species
UACAGGGGGGGCAAGCGUUGUUCGGAAUUACUGGGCGUAAAGGGUUCGUAGGUGGCCACUUAAGUCAGACGUGAAAUCCCUCAGCUUAACUGGGGAACUGCGUCUGAUACUGGAUGGCUUGAGUUUGGGAGAGGGAUGCGGAAUUCCUGGUGUAGCGGUGAAAUGCGCAGAUAUCAGGAAGAACACCCGUGGCGAAGGCGGUUCUCUGGGACGGUACUGACGCUGAGACGCGAAAGCGUGGGGAGCGAACAGG